UCGGAAGUUCUGUCAAAUGGAAAACUUCUUGCGUCGUUUGCAUGUUUGUUCGUGAUUUUUUCCGGUGCGGUCCAGUUUUUUUUGUAAAGUUGAAUCAGCCGCAACAAGGCUGCCGCAGCGGCUUCAGAAAAGGGAGUUGCAUUGAGACCAAGCUGGACACCGAUUCUGACGUUACGUGGCGGCCCUUCCAGAACCAAACAACCAACACAUAUGUUGGUACCUGCCGAGUGGCCACCAGUGACGGAUUGGUGUCUGGUGCUGGGCACCAUCGGUAACGACGAAAAUGUUGAGGCAGGAACAGCCGGAUACCGAGAGAAGCUUCCGAUGCCACCGGAGAAACAGGAACAAAAGACCAGAAGUCUGCAGAAGUACAAUUGCCAACAGAUCCAACAUCCCCCUAGCUCUGACCGGCGGAACCGUCUCUGCAGGUUGUAAACAAAGCGGUCGAGUAACUGAAGAAAGUCCAACGGGAAACAACCCAUCCGUCGGUCGCGUGCCACUUCGUUGACCGAGGAGAACAUGGAAUCUGACCUGCUGGUGGGUUCCGAUAAAGUUACGCCCAGAUGUAGUUCAUCAUCAAGUGCAGGGCGCUGGACCCUAUCACACAGGAUCUCGCGAAGCUGCACAGCUGAGUAAGGGUUCGUUUAACGCCACAGGGUCGUGCUUCGUAGAAUACUUUUAAAUCACCGGUCAACGCAGGGCUUGACCACCUGGGAGGUGGCCAAAGAGCAGUCGGUGUCAGCGGAACCAGUGCUGAAGCAGCGCAGCUUUCCCCCUUCCAGGAAGUCGAUUCUGGUUUCGCACCCGGCGGUAAGUUACGUUGUGGCCAACCCGAUAAACAGCGCAGAAAAAGAAGCAUAUCAGCAUUGCGCCAGCCGCUGGCGUGCAGGAAUCCGAUCUGGACAUUCAAGCUGCGGCCGACUUGCCGGUUCCAAAAUGUUCGCUGACGGAACGUUUCCGUUGAUUUAAAAAUAAUCGAUCCCUUCGAAUCCGGGGACAAGUCCAACAAAACCGACGGAGCUUGCCGCAGAAACUGGUGUAGUCGAACCGCUGGGGGUGACCGGGAGCACCAAAAAGGUGAACGAAAGAACUAAACUUUGGCCACGUAGCUGGACAAUUCGAGGUGUGGCCCUUGGGCAGCAAGCGGCAGCGGAACCUUGACUACAUGUGCACAGGAAGGCAGAUCUGGAGUUCCUUCUGGCGUCAGGUUAGGUUGUGAUCAAAACGCAGAAAACAACAACGGCGCAAAAUCGGUCAGCUUUAUUCCGGCAAGCGUUCAUUAGUGGUUUCUGUUAACGCCAGUAGCCACGAUUCUACUGUUCCAACAGCAUCAACGAAAACCUAGUGGGUUAAAAGGUUCAGCGUUCCCACGUACAGCAGUUACUGGCGACGGUUCGGUUUUGAAGCACGACGAUUAUUGCUCCACGAGUGCCCUUGGAACCACUUGUCUGGACCGAUGGUCCAGAUCAACCGGAAUCGGUCCACUUACCUGAAACCGGCUCGUUCAUGGCUUUGCGAAUAUCUACCUCACUGGUCCAAGACCGAGCACGAAGGUGGUGGAACGAUUACUGGACUAGAAGUCGGAACAACAACCUUAAAGAGUCCGCAGCGGUGCCCACCAGACAACAGGAUCUGGCCUAGCGAGCAGCAAAGACAAGUUAUGCCCGUCCUGGCAAGGCGAUAGAACUGGUGAACAGUUUACUAGUGCGCUUCAACACCGUUCUGCGCACCGGCUUCCUGGCACCAUCAGCAGGAAACGGCCCUCGAUGCAUCUCCCUGGCAGACCCCCUGCCACCAACCGGGCUGUUGUGAUCGGUGAAAACAAACUCGGUCGGAAAUUGCACAGCAGGCAUAUUCGAACCAGCGGCGCGCUGCGGAACGACAACGCCAAAAAAAACGUCCAAGAAACAAACAAUAAGAUGGCCGUCGAAAACCGUCAAUCCUUUCCAACCGCUGUAUCAGGCGGUACCGUUGGGCAAAAAUGUGGAAAACGAGCCGGCGUGUCCUGGUUCGGGGUUGUCGUCCGGAGAAGGACGACGGGACGGUGGCUGACCUCCCGUGACAUCAAGUAGAUUUAGCAGAUCGGCGGCGACCCGCAGAGUACGGAUUUUGACUUCCAGGACUAAACCAUUCCGGACUACCUUGGAGGAGUAGUUGGAGGCAGCGGAACCGGUGCCGUUGAAGAACAGCUCUAAAUCUAAAACCCUGGUCCCGGACAAGGAGGAGUCGUUUUGUUCCGCGAGUAAUACGACUAAGAUGAUCGCGAUGAAGAAACGUACACCCCUGGGCGACGAUCAAAACAUCACGGCAUUUUCAAGAUUUCGCGACCCCGCAUCGACAGACACAGAAUAGAAUAAUUCUCAAUCCGGCUUCCGCUCCCGAAACUUCGCCCCUGACCGCCAUCCCGAAUAAGCACGCGGGACAGCCAUGACCCUGAAAGUGACGACGAGAGCAGCGCUGCAUGGGACCCGGUCAUUACCCCGCAAGUGUCCUCGGAACAAUACUACGCGGAACAGCCUCGCAGUGCUGUCAUGGUCCCCAACCACCGGGAUCACGACGAUCACCGGCGGGACUCUUCGUCGGCGACGGCUCCGUUCGUCAACCCGCCAAGGUUUGUCGUUCAGCGGCCCAGCCUCGACCGUCCGUCAACCGCCACUGCCCUCGCAACAGAAUGGCCACGCCGGCGUCAGAGGUCGUGGACCGUAGUUGGUGGCAGCGCAACCGAUGCCGUUGAAGGACAGCUCAAAAAACUUGCUUGAUCCCAGCCGGCUUCACUACAAGUGGUACACUGGGGCCACGACCGAGCACCGAGGGAUCCGCAGCGUAACCCACUGGACAGCUGGAACUGGCCUCGCGCAAGUCACGUUCCGUCCCAUCCCGGCGAAGCGUAGGAACCGGUGAGCAGUCUUCAACCUCAGCCCAGAUGGAAGGGUAUGGCUCUGCCGGUGCGAUCGGAACGACAGAUUAAAUGCUGCACUUACGCUCUAUGUCAAGAUCAACCGGAACCGGCUCACAUACCCGGCCAAUUCUGUUGGUUCUUGCAAUCCGGAACUGGCACGCGCAACACGCGGUCGCCAUGGCUCUGGAUCAGAUUGACCGGUCAGCGGCUAACCUGUAAGUGCUUUCGAAACAAUGCUGCAUGGAAAUGGUUGUUGGACGAUCGCCAAACUGCAAGUUCUCUCGGAAUUACGCUGGACGGAACAGGCUCGCCGGACGGUCACCGCCCUGCAAUUGCACUCGGCACGACGGACUAAAACCGGCACGGACGCGCCAGGCCUAUUAUUUAACUCAUUUCGGUAAAUGCAAUCCGGAACUGCCACGCGAAACAGCAAUGGACCUCGAGUUUCCGUCGAAAAGAGACAGCACGGAAUAGGACUGCCGGGAGGUUGCCAACCUACAAGUGCUUUCGGAACGACGCUGGACGGACAUGGUCCCUGGAAAUUAAUUUAGAAAGCGCAUCACGGAACAGACACGACGCCCUGCAAGUGUCCUCGGAACGAAGCCGCACGGAAUAGGCUCGAUGGACAAAUAUGGUUCUGCAAGUUCCCUCGGAACGUCGCUGCAUGGACAGGUUCGGCGGACGGUCGCCGCCCUGCAGGUGCCCUCGGAACCACGGAUGAAAUGCUACACGAAAGCGCCCAGGUCUAAAUCAACCGGAGCCGGUUCUCACGUGUCUGGAGCGUUCCCCUGAAGGCUGUCCAACCGGUGAAUUGAUGUUUAUAAGAUUAAAUUAACUUAUUGCCUACGAUUUUAUGAAAAUAAACAAAUAAAAACGC